UUAACAAAUAAAUGGCUUUUUGGCAAGACGGAUUUAGAGGGACGGGUUUUUGAAUCAACAUUAAUAAAAAAAUAAAAUAUAAUUAAUCCACCGUUUCAAUACGGAUUAAAUUUUUAAUUUAUUAUUUUCUAAGACCACUAAUAUUAAAUAUAUCAAAUCAUCCUAAUUUAGAAAAGAUUAUAUAAAACAAAAAAUGUUAUGUGGUAUGUAUAAUGUUACUAUAUAUAAAAUUAAACUAUAAAAUAUAAAUGUAUUAGAAAAUGAUACAAUUUGCAAAACUUUUAUAUAUAAAAAAUAAUUCUUAAAUUUUAAAAAUUACUACUUCAAAAAAAAAUCACAGGACGGGUAAAGAAAUUACAGAACGAGUUUUAUUUUAGAAUUGAGUUAUAUGGCGGAUGUAUUUGAAUUAAUAUUUAUAAA
rnacentral:sRNA from 1 species